rnacentral:rRNA from 1 species
GUGCCAGCCGCCGCGGUAACACCAGCAGCCCGAGUGAUGGCCGAUUUUAUUGGGCCUAAAGCGUCCGUAGCUGGCCGCGUAGGUCCGUCGGGAAAUCUACUGGCUUAACCAGUAGGCGUCCGGCGGAAACUCCGUGGCUUGGGACCGGGAGACCUGAGGGGUACGUCCGGGGUAGGAGUGAAAUCCCGUAAUCCUGGACGGACCACCGGUGGCGAAAGCGCCUCAGGAGAGCGGAUCCGACAGUGAGGGACGAAAGCUAGGGUCUCGAACCGGAUUAGAUACCCGGGUAGUCC